GACGAACGCUGGCGGCGUGCUUAACACAUGCAAGUGGAGCGACGAACCAGGCUUCGGCCUGGGGCAAAGCCGCGAACGGGUGAGUAACACGUGGGUAACCUGCCCCGAUGAUUGGGACAACCCGAGGAAACUCGGGCUAAUACCAAAUGUGCCCUCUGGCCAUAAGGCCGCUGGGGAAAGGAAGCUUCGGCCUCCGCAUCGGGAUGGGCCCGCGGCCCAUUAGCUUGUUGGUGAGGUAACGGCUCACCAAGGCGACGAUGGGUAGCUGGUCUGAGAGGACGAUCAGCCACACUGGGACUGAGACACGGCCCAGACUCCUACGGGAGGCAGCAGUGGGGAAUCUUGCGCAAUGCGCGAAAGCGUGACGCAGCAACGCCGCGUGGGGGAAGAAGGCCUUCGGGUUGUAAACCCCUUUCAGUUGGGACGAAGCUUCAUCGGUUAAUAGCCGGUCGGAGUGACGGUACCUUCAGAAGAAGCCCCGGCUAACUACGUGCCAGCCGCCGCAGUAA
rnacentral:rRNA from 1 species